rnacentral:tRNA from 1 species
GUCUUCGUGGUGUAAUGGUUAGAACGCUCGACGCGUAUUCGAGAGUUCCGAGGUUCGAGUCCCGGCAAGGGCA